rnacentral:rRNA from 1 species
AUAAGUAACGAUAAAGCGGGUGAAAAGCCCGCUCGCCGGAAGACCAAGGGUUCCUGUCCAACGUUAAUCGGGGCAGGGUGAGUCGACCCCUAAGGCGAGGCCGAAAGGCGUAGUCGAUGGGAAACAGGUUAAUAUUCCUGUACUUGGUGUUACUGCGAAGGGGGGACGGAGAAGGCUAUGUUGGCCGGGCGACGGUUGUCCCGGUUUAAGCGUGUAGGCUGGUUUUCCAGGCAAAUCCGGAAAAUCAAGGCUGAGGCGUGAUGACGAGGCACUACGGUGCUGAAGCAACAAAUGCCCUGCUUCCAGGAAAAGCCUCUAAGCAUCAGGUAACAUCAAAUCGUACCCCAAACCGACACAGGUGGUCAGGUAGAGAAUACCAAGGCGCUUGAGAGAACUCGGGUGAAGGAACUAGGCAAAAUGGUGCCGUAACUUCGGGAGAAGGCACGCUGAUAUGUAGGUGAAGUCCCUCGCGGAUGGAGCUGAAAUCAGUCGAAGAUACCAGCUGGCUGCAACUGUUUAUUAAAAACACAGCACUGUGCAAACACGAAAGUGGACGUAUACGGUGUGACGCCUGCCCGGUGCCGGAAGGU